rnacentral:rRNA from 1 species
UUUGUAAAUUAGAAUAAAGAGUCGGUCCUGCCCGGUGAUGAAUAAACGGUUGCAACGAGAGUUGUACUAAGGUAGCGUGAUAAUUUGCCUUUUGAUUUAAGGAUGGUAUGAAUGGAUUGACGUAUAACUUCUUUUUUUAUAUAAUUUGUUGAAGUUCCUUUUUAAGUGAAAAAGCUUAAGUUAUUAAAAAAGACGAGAAGACCCUGUCGAACUUGAUUAAAGACAAUAGAGAAGCUGUGUCUAGAAGUUUUGUUGGGGCAACACUAACAAAUUUAGCAGUUAGUUUAUCGGCGUGAAUCCUUUUUGAAAGAAAAUGGAAAAAGUUACCGCAGGGAUAACAGCGUUAUUUCUUUUAAGAGAUCGUAUUGAGAAAGAAGUUUGCGACCUCGAUGUUGGAUUAUAAAAACUUUACGGUGUAGCAGCUGUAAUUGUGAGACUGUUCGUCUUUUAAA